GUGCCAGCAGCCGCGGUAAUACGGAGGAUCCGAGCGUUAUCCGGAUUUAUUGGGUUUAAAGGGUGCGCAGGCGGGAGAUUAAGUCGGCGGUGAAAUUUUGCAGCUCAACUGUAAAAGUGCCUUCGAAACUGGUUUUCUUGAGUAUGGAUGAAGUAGGCGGAAUUUGUGGUGUAGCGGUGAAAUGCAUAGAUAUCACGAGGAACUCCGAUUGCGCAGGCAGCUUACUAAGCCAUAACUGACGCUCAUGCACGAAGGCGUGGGGAUCAAACAGGAUUAGAUACCCUGGUAGUCCACGCAGUAAACGAUGAUUACUCGCUGUUUGCGAUACAAUGUAAGCGGCUAAGCGAAAGCAUUAAGUAAUCCACCUGGGGAGUACGUUCGCAAGAAUGAAACUCAAAUGAAUUGACGG
rnacentral:rRNA from 1 species